rnacentral:rRNA from 1 species
AGUGAGUGGCGAACGGGUGAGUAACACGUGGGUAACCUGCCCAGAAGUAGGGGAUAACACCUGGAAACAGAUGCUAAUACCGUAUAACAGAGAAAACCGCAUGGUUUUCUUUUAAAAGAUGGCUCUGCUAUCACUUCUGGAUGGACCCGCGGCGUAUUAGCUAGUUGGUGAGGUAAAGGCUCACCAAGGCAGUGAUACGUAGCCGACCUGAGAGGGUAAUCGGCCACAUUGGGACUGAGACACGGCCCAGACUCCUACGGGAGGCAGCAGUAGGGAAUCUUCCACAAUGGACGCAAGUCUGAUGGAGCAACGCCGCGUGAGUGAAGAAGGGUUUCGGCUCGUAAAGCUCUGUUGUUAAAGAAGAACGUGGGUAAGAGUA